rnacentral:lncRNA from 1 species
GUGUCAUUAUAAGUUUUGUCUUUUCUUUCUUUUUUUUUUUUAAGUCUUUGUAUAUAUGUUAGGAAGAGGUGAGAGAAAACUGCUAGCUUCAGGAUGUUUUGAACCAGAGGCUCAACCAAGCCAGUUCUGAGCAGGCUUCCACCUCCAUCUUCUUGAGAUCGUACUACUGCCUGGUUUCUGGCUCCUUUGGAGCAAUUUCAAGGUUGAAUGCCAGCACAUUUGAUAGGAAAUUUCUUGGGUAAUUGUGACAACUCAGGGAAAUCAAAGAGAUAGCUAGUCUAUGUCUCAGGACGCUGUGGCCAGCAGAAGCAUAUCUGCAUAGCUGGCAGCCAUUUCAUCCUCCUGAUAACUCAGUGAAGUAAAUGUUAUUAAAACCACUUGUGUGAGAGGAAACAGAGGCUCUGAUUAGACAAAGAACUUUUGAAAUAUACUACACCAUCAGUAAGUGACAGAGCUUGGAUUCAAAUCACACUUUGCCUGUCUCCAAAGCUCCUUCUGUCAUGUCAUGCUCUCAGGGUGAGGCAACACCUCCAGGAAUAUUUAAAGGCAUUUAGUGAUAAUCAACACUUUUUUUCUAUUCUUAAUUCAGUCUAUAACCUCAGCACCCUAAUGAGGUGAUCAACUACAACUUUCUGCAGUUGAGAGUUUUUCAGGAUGAAAAUGGACAUUUCUCCUGUCUACAGUUAUACCGUAUCACUUUGGACCCACAAAUUUUAUCCUUUUUUUAAAAUCUUUUUAGGGCCACACCCUUGGCAUAUGGAGGUUCCCAGGCUAGGGCUGAACCAGAGCUAUAGUUGCCGGCCUACGCCACAGCCACAGCAGUGCAGGAUCUGAGCUGCAUCUGUGAUCUACACCACAGCUUAUGGCAACACCAGAUCCUUAACCCACUGAGCGAGGCCAGGGAUCGAACCCGUGUCCUCAUGGAUGCUAGUCAGAUUUGUUACCAUUAAGCCUCCACAAAUUUUAUAUCUUAAAGCAAGUAAAAUCAAUUUUUAAGGGGUUCGAAAGUCAGACUGGGGCUUUCUAUUCAGCCACAACUUGAACCCCUUGUCUCAUAUCUCCUUGAAACAAGCCACACUUUUUCAAGGAAGUGGAACAUAAGCACAUCACAUAUAGACUCCCCACUUGGUUCCUUCAGGGAAUUCUUUAGGGGGCUGUGCAUCCCAAUGGCAAAGGACAUGGAUACUGGAAUCAGAGCCCCUGGGUCCAAAUCCUGGGGCUGUGCACUUGCCAGCUGCCUUGGCAGAAAGUCAUAGACACACACUAGGUGUAAGUUCUUCAAUAACAAAUGAUACCAAAAUUCACAAGGAUGUCCUGUAAAGCAAAAGACCACCCAGAAUACCCACAGGUGAAAGUAGAGAUUCCCUAGGUCCCUACAUUAUAUGACUACUGACCACAAGCCCAUCCCCACUGACUGCCUGAGCUACAUGCUUGCUUGCUAAGUACAAUUACCGAAACCAACCCCAGCACAUUCCUAAGUGUUUAUAGAUCAUCAAAGGUCAAUUUCUCAGGCAUACAAGCCUCAUUAGGCUCAAGACUUAGGCCCACCUUGGGUCCCAUUCCAGCAGCAAUGUCAGGCAAGUCACAAAAUCUGGCCAAUUAUCUGAUUCCUCUAGGACGGUAGUUUUCAAAUGUGGUCCUGGGCCAGCAGCAUCAGUAUUGUCUGGAAACUUCUUAGAAAUACCAAUUCUUGGGCUCUACCUCGGAAAUACUGAAUCCAAAACUCUGGGGAGGAAACCCAGCAUUCUGGUUUAACAAGCCCUCCAGGUGAUUCUCAGGCACAUGAAAGGCAGAACCACGGCUCCCUUACCUCCUUGAGUUGUGAAGAUGAAAUAAGAUCUUGCAUCUGUUCUGCUACCACGUGCAUUUCUCUAGCACGAAUUACCCCAUCUGUGACUGGCUGUGGAGGAAUGAUGUCAGAAUGUGAAAGCCACGUGUUAACACUGCACAUACUUGCACAUUUAUGGUUCACACUGCACUGUGAAAAUUGUACCUUGGUCUUCACCAUAACAUGGGUGGGUUCUCUUGAGCAACCAGAAUACCAGGAAGUGGAACCAUGAGUUUCAAGAGUAAAGGAAAGAGUCAGGGGCUCGUUCAGCUGUUGCAUCAUCAGCAAGAACCUUCUUGCUAUGUUCCAAGGAGCUAAAACCAGCACCCGCAUCCUGGGCUACCUCCCCCCGUGGUUAUAUCCCAGCCUCUUGAGCUCUUGGCUUGCAUGAGGUUGUCCUGCCUCCUCUGGCCCCCUUGACAGUAGUCCUACUGACUUGAAGCUCCAUGGCCUUUGCCCUGUCUUCACUUCUGCCAGCGCUGGUCUAAUAAAAAGUCACCAGCUUCCCAUCUUUGUUGCUUUUGUGGAUUUUAAUACCCCCCUGUGGCAGCUUCUAGCCACCCAUCUGCUGCCAAGGUGGCCCAAGGGACCUCCCCAGGUAGCAAUGAUUGUUUGGGCUCAUCAGAGUUGCAUCAGAUUUGAAUGGCCCUAUUUUCCCCGAAAUCCUAUUAUUUCUUAUACCGAGCUUUUCAGACAGCAAAAUUUUCUGGGAAGUGUUACUUUCUGUUUCCACAGAAAUGCCUGCCUAUGUAAAGUCCCUGGCACAUAGUAUGGGCUUAAUAAUUCUUAUUAUUAGUCCAUGUCUACAGUCCUUGAAAUGCUGACCAAAAAAGAAAAAAAAAAGAAAAAAAGCCAAGAAAACACUGCAAUGACAACUCAAAGAAGCAUUCUGAUAAUUUUGAUAAAGAGUGAAGUUGUUCCCCUCUUUAGCCAGUAUUUUUAAUGAUAUCCAUUUGGAGCCAUUUCUUCUGCUUUCUUUUAUCUUUUUCCAGCUUGAUCAACUUUUUUAAAGACAUGGAGAUAUUUUAUCCACUUCUACACACUUAAAUCCUUAAUUACACUCCAUCUCAUUCUUUGUGACUCUAGAAGAUUAGGCACUUGUGGAUAAAUAGCCAGGUGGAGGGUAAUUAACAUAAGUCCUGAUACUUACAGAGUGUGGCACUCAGACCUGAAAUCUCCAGUCACCUUUGCUGGCAGGGACUAGUUCAGUCUCCUCACCUGACAAGAGUGGGAACUGAGUUCUGGCUCAGGGUCUUCACAGCAGGACACUCUGGCCAGGAAAGCCAGCCAGGUGUCCUGGCUCCUAAUUCAAUAUUCUGUCUCUUAAUGUUUACUCUCUAGGCAUGCCCUGCCUUAGGACAUCAUUUCUAAGUUGUUUCCUUAAACAUGGAGUCACAGGUCAAAACUGGUCAUCUGUAGGUCACAUUCAGCCCACAGACAGGACUUGUUUGUCCACAUGUUCUCAUAAAACUGGGAAACUUCACAGUUUAAAAAAAAAAUUCUUGUUUCACUUAAAAAUUCAGAACGUCUGGCAACACUAAGCUCAUAUCCCCACAUGGCAACAGUCAGCUGGAGCUGAAGAACAGUCCCCUUUCAGCCAGGACCAACUCACUCAAACUGGCCACAGUCUCCACCACUCCCUAUUGUGUUACAUACAUACACACACCUCUCCUCACACAAGUACUGCUUUCUGAAUUAGUCAGCUAGGGCUACCAAAACAAAGUACUGCAGAUGGGCUGGCUUAAAAAAUAUCAAUUUACUUUGUCACAGUUCCAGAGGCUAGAAGUCCACAACCAAGGUGUGGGCAGGGUUAGUUUCUUCUAAGACCCCUCUCUUUGGCUGUCUUCAUCCUGUAUGGCCCCAUGGUCUUCCCUCUGUAUGUAUUUGCAUCCAAAUUCCCUCUUUGUAUAAGGACGCAAGUCUUAUUGGAUUAGGUCCCACCUUAACACUUUCAUAUUAACUCAAGUUUCCAAAUACAGUCACAUUGACUACAGGGGUUUAAUAUUUCAACAUAUAAAUUGGAGGGCACAGACCAUAACCUAUAACCUAUCGUUUCCUCUUCUGUGUGGUACUUCUGCUUGACUCCAAAGGCAUUUGAAUCUGCAACUGUGACAACCCGUAGCACACUUUGGCUUGUUAUUUAACUUUCACAGUUUUGGGUGGUAUUUUAUCAGACAGCCCCUAUACAAAGUGCCUUAAUAAUGAAAUGCAUAAAUGGGAGUUCCCACUGUGGCUCAGUGGGUUAAGAACCCAACAUGGUCUCCAUGAGGAUUCAGGUUCAAUCCAUGGCCUCACUCAGUGGGUUAAGAAUGCGGCAUUGUCACAAGCUACAACAUAGGCCAGCAGCUGAGAUUUGACCCCUAGCCUGGGAGCUUCCACAUGCCGCAGGUGCAGCCCUAAAAAGAAAAAACUGGUUUUUUUAAUAAUGAAAUGCAUAAAGUACACCUCAACAAGAUGUAACAUUGUGAGGACAGAAAGAACCUCAUAGACUAUCUCCCACAGUGGUUUUCAAACUAUUUCAAAGUCACAGAACAAAAGUGAGCAAGAAACUGAUACCUAAAGUAGCUAAGCUUCAUUCCUUCUCCCUAAGGGAGCUCCGGAAGAUACUGGGCCUCCCUACAUGAAAAGUGCUUUGAAAACUACAGCUCUCAUCCAAAUUAUAAUGUAAUUAAUUAUCAUAUAAUUAUAAUAUGAGAAACCUAAGCUCCUCCACAUGCCCAAGGCCACAUAGAGCCCAAAGCAGAGCAGCAGCAGACCCCACAGCUCCUUCCCACGCAGGUUCCAUAAGGUCAUGGCAUCAAUGGGAUGGGACAAGACCAUUUGAAUCCCAUCAUUAGGGCAGAGAAAUCCUGAUAUUGUGUUGGGGGAGGGGCAGCCUGGAGCUCAGAUGCUAACUGUGCUUGGCCAGUACUGGCUGUGCAACUUAAGGACAAAGGGCUUGACCCUUCUAUCCUUAUCCACAGGCAACACAGUAGGAUUAGACUCCAUGGGCUCUAACAUUCCUUCCAAUGUCAAAAUGCUAGGCUUCCAGAAUGUUACACUUAGAGUAAUUCUGCUCAUCUUUACUUUGGCUCUGUUGGUACAAAAAGACUUGGUGGUCACUUCUUGACCCAGAGGCAUGUGUUCUAGUAAUGGACAGGCUCAUCUCUCCCACCCCCAGAGCACUGCCCCCAGAGAAGGGGUCCUCAGACCCGCUCUGCUGACCCCCAGGGUGAGUGGACACCAUGGGGUAAAUUCAUUUCACCUGCCUUUACUGAGCAAACCCCUUCUCAGACUUGCAUGUCUUCCAAGCCACCUGUGGCCUAGACACGAUGAUUUUCCCAGCUACUUCGUAGGAAACAACUGAGAAUCAGCUGUGUCUGGUUCAAGCUGAGCCAGUUAGGACUGGAUAGCACCACCGACCCUCCAACUGGGCAUGCACGACUGUCUGCUCCAUGACCUUUUGACGGCGCACACGCCUGUGGCCUAGUUACGCCUGCGCAGAGAACAAUUAUUGCACCUUUGUUCAUCACCUCUUCUCACGCCCCCACCUUUUCCCAAUCACCAUUCCCCACGCCCCCGCGCCUCUGACCGCCCUGGCGCCUCAUUGGUCAUCCCAUAAAUACCCCCAGCCCGUUGGCUUUGAGGUCUGUUCUCCCAUCUCCUUGCUUGGCUGUUUUGUGAUAUAAGCACGCGCUCGCUCGCGCUCUCUCUCUUUUUUUCCCUGCAAACCUGGGUAUCAGUAUUUUUGCUGGGCACCAGGCAAAACGAACUGGGCUCAGUAACAAGUUCCAUACCUUUGCUCUAACUUGGUCUUAUAGGAAAAAAAAAAGUGAAGGAGGCAUGCUGUAGGAAAAGUAGAACUAUGUGACUCUCUCUUUCCUCAAUAACGUAAACUAAAGAAUUUUUCACAAGGAGAGUGGGAGAGGGGAGGGUGGAAGAAAUUGCUGUGCUAUUUGGGAACUUUAGAACUCAGAAGUGAAAAUGGCUCUCUAGUUAACGUUCUGGUGAUGAUUGUCUUUCAUGAGGUUGCCCAUUGAGGACCAUGUUGAUUCUCUCAAGUAAUUAGUAUCUCAAGGCAAAAUCUAUGGCUCCAAACAGCCAAACUUUGGUUACUACUAACAGCCUUUUUUUCGUCUUCCUCUUUCCUGAAAUAUAGUGAGGCUACAUUGCCAGCCUCUCUGCAGGCAGCUGUAGCUACAGAAGAAGUUCUAGUUGUGGAAUGUGGGCCAGGUGUUCUCUCUUCCAGGCCUGGCCCAUGAAAACUUUUUAAGUGUGGUCCUUGCUCUCUUCUUCUGUCAGCAGAAUAGAAAUAUCCCUAGAGAUAGGGGAAAAACCUGGGCCCUUGAAUGACUGCAUGGAGCAGAGACAUAGAUAGUCCUAUACAUACCCACACUGGCUCGGAGGUGGGCAAGAAGUUAAUUCUGCCUAG